AUGACAGCUUUGAGAAGGAAAGUACGUUAAAUGAGUAGCUUUCAGAGAGUUCCUGGUUGGUGAGAAGGAAUAGCGAAAGUUUUGCUGAAAAUCACCUUUGAGCAGAAAUUACGAAUUGAGUAGUUUCAGGGACCGCCCUUUACAGCGGCGACGUAUCGCUCAUCAUUGAUGGGCCGCACGUGCAUGAGGCUGACUUUGUCAGCGAAAGAUAGGUGGUACAGCGCUGAGGCGCCCUAUUA
rnacentral:ncRNA from 1 species